CUUAAUUCAUUUAUACUUUCACAGUCCCAAUAAACAUUUCCUCUCUCAGUCCCUCUUUAGCUCAUCUUCAUUAAAUCAUCGUUUUCAUCGUUUGCCCACUUUCACGGCUGUUCAUCAUCAUAAUCAGCUGUUGUUUCCUUGUCUUCUUUGGCGCGAUCAAUAACCAACUGUGAUGUGGGUUGAACGGCACCUUCGCCAAUCACGAUUACGGCUGUGUUCAUCAUCAUCAAGUGUUGUCGUAACCAACUCUGAUACAGUCAGAAUCAACGAGUUUGCGUUUGCCGUUUGUUGAUUCACCGGAUGCCAAUCCUUCAAGUUUGUGAAUAUCGGAUUAUAAGUUCCUACUUUUGUUGUUGAAAGUUGAUGUCUUCCAUUUUAUAAUUAUGUGAUUUAUGCUUUGUUAUGAUUUGAUUUGAAUAUUUGUGCUUUGAUAUGCUUCCAUUUUAUUAUUUAUAGUUUAUUUAAUUUUGAAAUAUUUUUUAAUUGUUGGAUGUUGCUGUUAAUAAAUUAAGGGAAAAGGAUACCGUUGAUUAUAAGUGGGAGGUUCAAACCAAGAAACAAACGAGCUUAUUUGUAUUUGAUUUGCUGAAAUCCUGGAUUUGUAUUUCUAUUUGAUUUUUCAGUUAAUUUCAGUUUUUUUUUUCAAUUGGAUUCAUUAAUUCGGAUUGAAAACCCACAAUUCAGGAACCCGGAUUUUCCCGGAUUGAACCUGGACCGGACCCGGAGUGGAAAAAGGCGGGCUUAUUUCUGGAUCUAGUAUAGAAAAUAUUCGUCCGGAUUCGUAUCCGAAAAGGCUAAACCUGCACUCGGACCUGGAUUUUGGUUCUGAAACCUAAGGAGUCUAUGUAGAUUAAGCAGUGCUAAAAAUAAGGAAAUUGUUGAAAAUUGUUAGAGUUUGCGGUUUUAUCUAGUACCUGGUGAACAUAUUAACUAGAUUCAUAAAUGAAUUAUGAAAUACUUUUUUUGAGGUUCAAAUUUUUCUCUUUGCC
rnacentral:lncRNA from 1 species